rnacentral:rRNA from 1 species
ACCCAUCAGCCGCUGUGUUUCAGCCCUUUGACUAGAAGCGCACGCACGCACCCCACCCCCAUCGUCGCCCCUCUCUCUCCCUUCUGACCAACCCGGCCGCCCCCAGUUUCUUCUCCUCUUCUCUCUCCGCGCUGCCGUCCCGACCCCGUCUUCUGCUCCUCCGCUUCACGCGGCGCCGGCCGCCGGCCGCCGGCCGGCCUCCCUCCAAAUCCGUACGCCGAGCGGGCCCUCCCUCCCUUUCGACCUCCUCCCCUGCCGCAGACACUGCCCCCCGUGGUAAGCUGAAAGCCCUAAUCCCGCUCUCUCCCGCCUGAUUCCUUGGCACCACCUCCGAUUCCAUACAAUUGUCGCGUGGGUGCUGCUGGUUGGAGCUCGUGAGAUGCUUUGAGGUCGGGCUGGAGACGGCACUUAAUUCCGAAUUCUUAGGUGUUUCCCGCUGCUUGGCGCUGGCUGAGCUGUGGGGGGAAGGUAGGCCGGCCGGCCUAAGCUUAGUUAUUGACGCUACGAGCUAGCAAAAAUCUGUACUUGCCGCUUCCUUUGCCUUGAAUUAUCUCCCGUCCCGCUGUUGUCCUGCUGUACUUGUUUACUUUUGGAAUUACUUGUGCUACUAUAAGGGAAGAUCCCGUGCCUACAGAUAAUUUGACUCUGAAAAGGUGACGGCUCUGGCCUCGGAGUGAUCUGACACAUAAAGGAUACAGGCGCCCUUAUUACCCUGCUUGAACUAAAGGGGCAACAAAGCGAUUUGUUGUCCUGUUGUUUUGAGCUGGAAAACCCCCGGUAUGGCUGAUGCUAGUUCGAGGACUGACACAUCCAUAGUUGUGGACACUGACGAUAAGAAUCAAAGGAUGGAAAACGGACAAAAUGGAGCUAUCGUGCCUUCUAAUUCAUCUGAACCAUCUGACAGGUCCGACAGGCCUAUGGACCAAAAGGUAUUGCGGAGGCUUGCCCAAAAUCGCGAGGCAGCACGAAAAAGUCGUCUGAGGAAAAAGGCGUAUGUACAACAACUUGAGAGCAGUAAGCUGAAACUUGCAAGCCUGGAACAAGAACUCCAGAAAGCUCGACAGCAAGGAAUCUUCAUUUCUAGCUCUGGGGAUCAAACUCAUGCUAUGAGUGGAAAUGGAGCGAUGACAUUUGAUUUAGAAUAUACUCGAUGGCUAGAGGAGCAAAAUAAGCAGAUAAAUGAGCUGAGGACUGCAGUAAAUGCUCAUGCAAGUGAUAGUGACCUCCGUCUUAUUGUAGAUGGAAUAAUGGCACAUUAUGACGAAAUAUUCAAGCUGAAGGGCGCUGCUGCAAAGGCUGAUGUGUUUCAUAUACUUUCAGGCAUGUGGAAAACACCUGCUGAAAGGUGUUUUUUGUGGCUUGGGGGUUUUCGUUCGUCUGAGCUUCUAAAGCUCGAGCCUCUAACAGAGCAGCAGUUGAUGGGGUUAUCCAGCCUCGAGCAAUCCUCACACCAGGCCGAGGAUGCACUAUCACAAGGAAUGGAGGCAUUGCAGCAAUCUUUGGCUGAAACGUUGGCUGGUUCCCUUGGUCCAUCAGGAUCUUCAGGAAACGUGGCAAACUACAUGGGUCAAAUGGCUAUGGCUAUGGGAAAACUUGGAACCCUUGAGAAUUUCCUUCGCCAGGCUGACAAUCUACGGCAACAAACUUUGCAUCAAAUGCAAAGAAUUCUGACAAUACGGCAAGCUGCUCGAGCUCUCCUUGCAAUACAUGACUAUUUUUCACGUUUGCGUGCCCUGAGCUCUCUCUGGCUUGCAAGGCCACGGGAGUAAAACAUGUGCGCCAUCUUUUGGCGCUUCAUGAGCUGAUCCAAGAAAUGUGGACAAAUUGCGACGCAUUUGCAGAAGAUUGGUGGUUCAGUUCCCUCUGAAAAAUAUAUUGACACCUUGUGUUCUCAUAUUGUACUUCGAUGUUGUACAAGUAGCCAGGUAGGGGUAAGGCUUGUAACUGUAAGUUACCAUGAAUUUAUGAUUGACAUAUUGUACAUUUGUAUUAGCAAUAAAUAAACGUAGAUAAAAGGUCCAAGAGGACCCAUUGAUUGCACCUGUUGGAAGCAAGAAGCG